rnacentral:sRNA from 1 species
UUUGAAAGGCCAAAAGGUCAUGCGUUUCAUGAUUGCAUGAAAAAACAUGAAAUUUGGAUAUGUAAAACACCGAAAAACAACUGUUUUUUUUUUUGUAAAAAAAGAACGACUUUCUGGCGUUUUAGGACUGUGGGAGUGGGUUAGCAUGGAAUAAUCCGUGUAUCAGA